rnacentral:tRNA from 1 species
GGAGCGGUAGUUCAGUUGGUUAGAAUACCGGCCUGUCACGCCGGGGAUCGCGGGUUCGAGUCCCGUCCGCUCCGCCA